GACAGAGGAUGCAAGCGUUGUUCGGAAUUACUGGGCGUAAAGCGAACGUAGGUGGUUUUGUGUGUCUGGUGUGAAAGCCCUUGGCUCAACCAAGGAAGUGCGCCGGAAACUGCAAAACUGGAGUGUAGGAGAGGAUGGUAGAAUUCUCAGUGUAGAGGUGAAAUGCGUAGAUAUUGGGAGGAACACCAGUGGCGAAGGCGGCUCGCUGGACCGGUUCUGACGCUGAGGCGCGAAAGCGUGGGGAGCAAACAGG
rnacentral:rRNA from 1 species